GCUUGACUGUAUCUUGGAAUUGGGUUCGGGCUUUUCUUGCGCAGACUAGGUGGGAGGCUAUGAAGAUUUUCUUCUGGGAAAGUUGGAGCCAACAGUGAGAGACCACUCUGGAAAGGCUAGAAUCCUAAUGGUGAUCCUUGAAUCAGGACACUUGACAGUUUCAGGUGGGCAGUUUUUCUGGGGCGGAAGCCUCAUAAAAGGUAACUGAGGCGCGCAAAGGUCCCCUCAGUCUGGACGGAAAUCAGACAUUGAGUGUAAAGGCAAAAGGGGGCUUGACUGCAAGACCCACAAGUCGAGCAGGGGCGAAAGCUGGCCUUAGUGAUCCGACGGUGUCGUGUGGAAGGGCCGUCGCUCAACGAAUAAAAGUUA
rnacentral:rRNA from 1 species